UACUCAGGUGGCCUAAGUGGCUUGAGCGUCCGCCUCGAAUGCGGGAGGUCAAAGGUUAGAACCCUGACCAAGUAA